rnacentral:lncRNA from 1 species
AUGGAUGUGCGUGCUGGGAUAAAUGUGCAGAGGCCACAGGACGGCUCGCCUAGUGGGCUUGGCGUAAAUGCUUUUCUCUCGGGUCUGAAAACUUUUCUCAGGCGCCUUAACUUGGCGUGGGGACCGGCCUCCGGCAGCGGCGGCCCGCCCCUUGGGCCCCUCCCCUCCACAGCUGGUCCCCUCCGCCCGCUCGAGCCGGGGACGCGCGCGGGACACCAGCGCGCAGAGGCCGCCUCGCGCGCGCGAGCCGCGCCUUAUAUCCGCGGAGGGCGGCGCCUGCGCAAGGCCCGGCUCGGCGGCACGGCCUUUGAAGUCGUGGCGGCUGCCGCUUUCAUCCUUUCUUUUUUCCCUUGCAGGCCCCUUUGUGUGACUAAAUUUGGCAAGAAUAUGGAUCCGAGCCAGUCUUUCCACGUGUGCUCCCAGCUCCCAGCUGAGAAGGCCAAGGGUUCUCUUCCGGGAAAACCAAUUCGGCUAUUAAGGGAACCUCUCAACAGAGCAGAGGAGGAGAAGGCAAGGUUUCAGAAAGAAGAGCUGUUUACCAUCAAAGCAAACUGGGUUCCACACAGACAUAGCGUAUCAUACACAAAGACAAAGGUAAAUGCUCCGUGGUUUUUACAAGUAAUUCACUGUGCUUAUAUAAAUGCACUAGAGCCUCUAGAAUUCUUACUGAUCAAAUUACUUGUUUUUCUAUUGUUAAAAAAAAGCCAAAUAAUCAAAUAUAAUUUAAAAAGUCAGUUGUCUGGAUUCCCCUCCCGACUCCCCCCCAACCCCCCCAACCAGUAACCUGAUGCUUCUGUUGUGUCGACGUCUAUAUAUCUGAGAACAGUGAUGUGUUGCUUGUGAUAAGUGCCAAUUUGGUGAUACUAUAUAAUGAAAAUGUACUCGCCUUUCAUUUAUCAAAGUGCCUUUCUCUGCUCAGUUUUAAAAAACCAGAAAUUUUACUUAGAGUUACAUAUUUCUUGGGUUAAUUCAUAUUUUAUAAAUAUGUGAAAUUAUUAAUUCAUUCUAUCUGUAGCAUGUGUGGACCCUGAAGCUUAUGGCAGUGCUGUUAUCUAUUGCAGGGAUGCAAACACGCUCUUUGAUGUGUUAUUCUUGGGGACUAGAGAGGAUAAAGAUGGAAUACUCAUUGGGCCCAGUUCUCCAGAUGGCCUGAAAAAUGUAGCAGUGGGUUAUAUGCAUUUCCACAGAGCAGGGUCAUGAUUCUCUAAUCUGUACCAUGUUAUAGAUAACAGGACACUCCAGGGAGUAGCAGCUCCAGCCAUUCUUGCUGUAUGUCCUUCUAGGAUGUGGCACCAGAACGUCACCAGUCCGCAAAUAGCCCUUCCUGCACAGGCGUUUCAGUAAACUGUCUCUGCAUCCACUGUGUGGAACGAG